AGUGAACGCUGGCGGUAGGCCUAACACAUGCAAGUCGAACGGCAGCACAGUAAGAGCUUGCUCUUACGGGUGGCGAGUGGCGGACGGGUGAGGAAUACAUCGGAAUCUACUUUUUCGUGGGGGAUAACGUAGGGAAACUUACGCUAAUACCGCAUACGACCUACGGGUGAAAGCAGGGGAUCUUCGGACCUUGCGCGAUUGAAUGAGCCGAUGUCGGAUUAGCUAGUUGGCGGGGUAAAGGCCCACCAAGGCGACGAUCCGUAGCUGGUCUGAGAGGAUGAUCACCCACACUGGAACUGAGACACGGUCCAGACUCCUGCGGGAGGCAGCAGUGGGGAAUAUUGGACAAUGGGCGCAAGCCUGAUCCAGCCAUACCGCGUGGGUGAAGAAGGCCUUCGGGUUGUAAAGCCCUUUUGUUGGGAAAGAAAAGCAGCAGGUUAAUACCCCGCUGUUCUGACGGUACCCAAAGAAUAAGCACCGGCUAACUUCGUG
rnacentral:rRNA from 1 species